UGGGGAAUAUUGGACAAUGGGCGCAAGCCUGAUCCAGCAAUACCGCGUGAGUGAUGAAGGUCUUCGGAUUGUAAAGCUCUUUUAGUAGGGAAGAUAAUGACGGUACCUACAGAAAAAGCACCGGCAAACUUCGUGCCAGCAGCCGCGGUAAUACGAAGGGUGCUAGCGUUGUUCGGAAUUAUUGGGCGUAAAGCGUACGUAGGCGGCUUUGUAAGUCGAUUGUGAAAGCCCUGGGCUCAACUCAGGAAUUGCAAUCGAAACUGCUUUGCUUGAGUUUGGUGGGGGAUGGUGGAAUUCCUAGUGUAGGGGUGAAAUCCGUAGAUAUUAGGAGGAACAUCGGUGGCGAAAGCGACCAUCUACGCCAAUACUGACGCUAAGGUACGAAAGCGUGGGGAGCAAACAGG
rnacentral:rRNA from 1 species